rnacentral:lncRNA from 1 species
CCCACAUAAUUCAUUUAUUUCACAUUUUAACCCCUCAAUUUCUCAUUUUCCCAAUUUAGUCCAAAAUACUCAAAUUCAUCAAAAAUCCCAAUACAAAACAUAGUAAUCUAACUCAUAUCUUUUAUUUUCUAUCAUCAAACUUCAUAAAAUUCAUAUUAUAAACAAUGGAACAUUUUAAAAUUAUAAUCAAAUUCAGAAUUUGAGGCAAGGGCUUGAUAAAACACAAAGCAAC